CGGGUAGUAACGGGUAAUCAACCUGCCCUUCAAAGGGGGACAACAGUUGGAAACGACUGUAAUCCCGCAACGAUUUUAACCUGGCAUUGAGGAUGGAUUAAAGGUGGCCUUAUGAUAAGCUAUCACUGAAGGAGGGGAUUGCGUCUGAUUAGCUAGUUGGAGGGGUAACGGCCCACCAAGGCGAUGAUCAGUAGCCGGUCUGAGAGGAUGAACGGCCACAUUGGGACUGAGACACGGCCCAGACUCCUACGGGAGGCAGCAGUGGGGAAUCUUCCGCAAUGGACGAAAGUCUGACGGAGCAACGCCGCGUGAGUGAUGACGGCCUUCGGGUUGUAAAGCUCUGUUAAUCGGGACGAAAGGCCUUCUUGCGAAUAGUUAGAAGGAUUGACGGUACCGGAAUAGAAAGCCACGGCUAA
rnacentral:rRNA from 1 species